AUCCCUAGAGCUUCGAGCUCUCUAAAGGGUUGUUCUAGACUAGAACGUUGAUAGGCAGGGUGUGUAAGCGCUGUGAGGCGUUGAGCUAACCUGUACUAAUUGCCCGUGAGGCUUAACCAUACAACACCCAAG
rnacentral:rRNA from 2 species